CUUCAACUCUCUCCUCAACUGACUAAAUAACUUUAAAGAAGUCAACCCUUCAGAGUUGAAACUUCAAGAGUUUCAAGAGUCAAAAUAUCUGAGUCAAAGCUCUGAAGAACUCCAUUUCCCCAUCUGUGGAACGGCAGCAGUGGAAGACAGAGAAGUGUAGCAUUUCAGCGACAAGAUUCCAGCCUCAAAUUCACUUCCUAGGCAAUCUCUUCGAAUACACAAAUCAGUUACUAGCCCCAUCUGUGCCUUAGUUUCCUCAUUUGUCGAUGGAGAUGAUUGCAGGACUGACCUCACGGGUUGUUCUGAGGAUUAAAUGGGAUACUGCACGUAGAGCCCUUUGCAGGUCCCCAGCACACAGCGAGCUUUAGAUAGCUGGUGGCUAUUUUUGCCCUUGUUAUGUAUCAUUCCAGAGUUGUAUAACUGGCUUGGUCCUGUGGCCUCACCAACUUGACACAACUCCUAGGCUCUGUAUCAAAGGACAUUGCACAGAGGAGACAAUGUCUGGUGGAAGGAGAGUUUAAAGGGCUUCCCUUCUCCCAGUCUCACCUGCCCUGCCUCUAAUGCCUUUCCUGGCUUCAGAAAGAGGAAACAGAUUCCCCAGGGGCUCCGGGCACACAGCUGGGCUCCCAGGUGAGCUGAUCCGUGUGGGAUGAGUGUGCGGCUCUAACCUGAUGUGGUCUGCUGAAUAGCACAGUCAAAUCCUAUUUCCUUUCCAUUUAGUGAAGUGGAUCGAAAUAAUGCAGGCGUAACCUUUUCCCACUUUCCGUGCCAGCAUUCAUUCAGAGAGGGUUUUGUCAUUGUUACUGAUGUUGCUGUUUUUGUUUUAUUGUGAUUCUUCAGGUUAGAAUGUAUUUAUUUUGUAGUAUUUCUUUAAAAUUUUUGAAAUUAUGGUGAAAUAUAAGGAACAUAAAAUUUACCAUUGGAACCAUUUUUAAGUGUACAGUUCAAUGGUGUUAAGCACGUUCACAUUGUUGGGUAACCAUCACCACCACCCAUCUCCAGAAAGCUCUUCAUCUUGUAAAAGCAAAACUCCAUUAAACAGUAACUCCCCA
rnacentral:lncRNA from 1 species